rnacentral:rRNA from 1 species
UACGUAGGGGGCAAGCGUUGUCCGGAAUCAUUGGGCGUAAAGAGCGCGUAGGCGGCCCAGUAAGUCAGACGUGAAAUCCCCAGGCUCAACUUGGGAACUGCGUCUGAUACUGGAUGGCUUGAAUUCGGGAGAGGGAUGCAGAAUUCCAGGUGUAGCGGUGAAAUGCGUAGAUAUCUGGAGGAAUACCGGUGGCGAAGGCGGCAUCCUGGACCGAGAUUGACACUGAUGAGCGAAAGCUAGGGGAGCAAACGGG